UGAAUACGAGACGCUACGGCGUCGAAGCAGUCUAUGUCAUACUUCCAAGAAAAGCUUGCACUGUCAUAAACAAAUAAUGCCUGUACCAUAACCGACACAGGUGGGUAGGUAGAGUAUACUAAGGGGCGCGAGAUAACUCUCUCUAAGGAACUCGGCAAAAUGACUCCGUAACUUCGGGAGAAGGAGUGCCUUAUUUAUAAGGUUGCAAUAACAAGAUCCAAGCAACUGUUUAUCAAAAACACAGGUCUCCGCUAAGUCGUAAGACGAUGUAUGGGGGCUGACGCCUGCCCAGUGCCAGAAGGUUAAAGAAGUUGGUUAGCAUUAGCGAAGCUGAUAACUGAAGCCCUGGUGAACGGCGGCCGUAACAAUAACGGUCCUAAGGUAGCGAAAUUCCUUGUCGGGUAAGUUCCGACCCGCACGAAAGGCGUAAUGAUUUGGAUACUGUCUCGGAGAGGGGCUCGGUGAAAUAGACUUGUCUGUGAAGAUGCGGACUACCUGCACCUGGACAGAAAGACCCUAUGAAGCUUUACUGUAACCUGAAAUUGAAAUUGGACUUUAUUUGCGCAGUAUAGGUGGGAGGCGUUGAGAAUAUUCUUGCGGGAAUAUUGGAGCCAUCAGUGAGAUACCACUCUUGUAAUGUUAGAUUUCUAACUUUGAAUCAUUAUCUGGUCAAAGAACAGUUUCAGGCGGGCAGUUUGACUGGGGCGGUCGCCUCCUAAAUGGUAACGGAGGCGCACAAAGGUUUCCUCUGAACGGGUAGAAAUCGUAUCUAGAGUGUAAAGGCAUAAGGAAGCUUGACUGUGAGACCUACAAGUCGAGCAGGGACGAAAGUCGGUCUUAGUGAUCUGACGGUGCUGAGUGGAAAGGCCGUCACUCAACGGAUAAAAGUUACUCUAAGGAUAACAGGCUGAUCUCCCCCAAGAGUUCACAUCGACGGGGAGGUUUGGCACCUCGAUGUCGGCUCAUCGCAUCCUGGGGCGGUAGUACGUCCCAAGGGUUGGGCUGUUCGCCCAUGAAAGCGGUACGCGAGCUGGGUUCAGAACGUCGUGAGACAGUUCGGUCCAUAUCCGGUGUAGGCGUUAGAAUAUUGAGAGGAGCCUUCUUUAGUACGAGAGGACCGAGAAGGACAUACCUCUGGUGUACCAGUUAUCGUGCCAACGGUAAACGCUGGGUAGCUAUGUAUGGAGAGGAUAACCGCUGAAAGCAUCUAAGUGGGAAGCCCACCUCAAGAUAAGUAUUCU
rnacentral:rRNA from 1 species